rnacentral:lncRNA from 1 species
AGAAGAGGCAGGGCACGUUAGCCGAGGCUGCGGGAGUGGAACUCAGACAGCAGGCAAAGCAUACAAACAUACACGCACACACACACACACACACACACACACAUACAUGCUCAGUCAGCGUGACACAAGUACUGGUUCCAUUCAGCACUGAGUUGACUGACUCACUGCUAUCCAUUAGCCGGCAUGCCGCAGAGAAAGAGGAGUUUCACUUUUGGAGCCUAUGGAGGAGUGGACAAGACAUUCUCCAAGGCCAGAAGCUUAUGGAAACAAGAUGGGAGUGACCCCCGCAUUUCUGCAUCACUAGAGCCCCAGCUGUUCCAGCCUACACUCCCAUACACCACCUCCCCAUUCCACAAGGUAGGCGGAGAACUGGGAGGGAGGGGGUUGCACUUUGAACCCCUGACCUUAUCUGAUGGACCUCUGUGUGA